GUCUCUCCAGUCUUUCCGAUCACGGGUCGCCUGUACUUGAAGGACCCACGUUGGUCUCCCGUUCUCUGUGUUUCGCUGUGACCUGACCUGAGUCAUAGGAAGGACGGCGGGGAACGCAGGAAACUUAGAAAUGUUGUGACCUAUACCAACCUCGCGAGUUAUACGAAGGACACCAGGGGACCCAGGAGCCCUAGAAAUGGACUCAGUGGCCAUUGAGGAUGUGGCUGUGAACUUCACCCCGGAGGAGUGGGCUUUACUGGAUUCUUUACAGAAGAAACUCUACAGGGAUGUGAUGUGGGAAACCUUCAGGAAUCUGGCCUCAAUAGGAAAAACAUGGGAGGAUCAUGAUAUUGAAGAUGAGCACAAAAACCAGGGGAGAAAGCAAAGAAGUCCUACGGUUAAGAGACUCUCUGAAAGUGAAAACGGUAGUCAAUGUGGAGAAAAUUUCAGCCUUAUUCCAAAUCUCAGUGUGAAGAAGAAAACUACAGGAGCAGAACCAUGUGAAUGCAGUGCAUGUGGAAAAGUCUUCAUGCAUCAUUCAUCCAUUAAAAGGCAAGUUAGGUGUCACACUGAACACAAACCAUACGAUUAUCAAAAAUAUGCAGAGAAGCCAUAUGUAUGUAAGGAAUGUGAGAAAGCCCUCCGUUUUCCCAGUUCUCUUCAAAUAUAUGAAAGAACCUGUACUGGAGAGAAACCCUAUAAAUGUCAAAAUUGCAGUAAAGCAUUCACUUCUUCCAGUUCUCUUCGAGUCCAUGAAAGAAUUCAUACAGGAGAGAAACCUUAUGAAUGUAAGGAAUGUGGGAAAGCCUUUAGAGCUCUGGCAAGCCUUCAGUCACACAUGAUCUUUCACACUGGAGAUGGACCGUAUAAAUGUAAGGAAUGUGAGAAAGCAUUCCUUUCUCCCAGUUUACUUGAAAUACAUGAAAGGAGACACACUGGAGAGAAACCCUAUGAAUGUAAAUAUUGUAGUAAAGCAUUUAGUCUUCCCAGUGUUCUUGAAAUACAUGAAAGAACUCACACUGGAGAGAAACCGUAUCAAUGUAAGGAAUGUGGGAAAGCUUUUAUUGCUCUCACAAACCUUCGAGUACACAUGGUCACUCACACUGGAGAUGGACCUUAUAAAUGUAAGGAAUGUGGGAAAGUAUUCAUUUAUCCCAGUUUAUUUCAAAGACAUGAAAGGAGUCACACUGGAGAGAAACCCUAUGAAUGUAAAGAAUGUGGGAAAGUUUUCAGUUUGUAUGCUUACUUAGAAAAACACAAAAGAACUCACACAGGAGGGACACCCUAUGUAUGUAAGGAAUGUGGCAAGGCAAUUAUUUCUCUCAAACUUUUCCAAAUACAUGAAAGGAGUCACACAAGAGAGAAAUCCUAUGAAUGUAAAAAAUGCAAUAAAGCAUUCACUUGUCCUAGUUCUCUUCGAGUACAUGGAAGAACUCACACUGGAGAGAAACCCUAUGAAUGUAAGGAAUGCGGGAAAGCCUUCAGAGCUCGCUCAAGCCUUCGAUCACAUGUGAUGCUUCACACUGGAGAUGGACCUUAUAAAUGUAAGGAAUGUGGGAAAGCAUUCAUUUCUCCCAGUUCACUUCAAAGACAUGAAAGGAGUCACACUGAAGAGAAACCCUAUGAAUGUAAAAAAUGCAGUAAAGCCUUCAGUUAUCCCUAUUCUCUUCGAGUCCAUGAAAGAACUCAUACUGGAGAGAAACCCUAUGAAUGUAAGGAAUGUGGGAAAGCCUUUAUAGCUCUCACAAACCUUCAAUCGCACAUGAUGCGUCACACUGGAGAUGGACCUUAUAAAUGUAAGGAAUGUGAGAAAGCAUUCAUUUCUCCCAGUUUACUUCAAAUACAUGGAAGGAGUCACACUGGAGAGAAACCAUAUGAAUGUAAAGAAUGCAGUAAAACUUUCAGUUAUAUUGGUUCUCUUCAAAAACACGAACGAACUCAUACUGGAGAGAAACCUUAUGAAUGUAAAAAAUGUAGUAAAGCAUUUGAUGUUGUCAGUUCUCUUCGAAGGCAUGAAAGAACUCAUACUAGUGAGAAAGCCUAUGAAUGUCAAGAAAGUGGGAAAGCCUUCAUUUCUCAUGCAACCUGUUGAGGAUGUCUGAGAAUGCAUGCUAGAGCAGAAAACAUAAAUGUAAUGAAUGUGGGAAAGACUUUUGUCAUCCUAGUUCCUCCUGAAGUUAUAAAAGGAGUCACUUGAUAAAACCUCUUGAAAGUAAACAGUGUGGGAAAGACUUAAUUGGCCUACAUCCUUCUAUGUGAAACUCCCACAAAAAAGAAAUAUAAAAGACUCAGUGGCCAUUGAGGAUUUGCUUGUGAACUUCAUCCUGGAGGAGUGGGCUUUCCUCGAUUCUCCACAGAAGAAACUUCAUGGAGGUAUUAUGCAGGAAACUGUCAUGACCUGGCCUCAAUGGGUAACAAUGACAAUUUGCAUUCACUGUUUCAAUUAGAAAACAAGUGUUUCUAGUUCAUCAAUGUUGUUCCAAGACAUGGAAUGUGGAAAGGGAGGAUGUUGGAUAAACUGGGCAUGGUCACAGCUCAUCAUGAACCUAGAAUCUAAUAACUUUUCUAUAAUUUCUAAUACUUUGGAAUCAUUAUUCUGGGUCUGAAUUUUAGGAAAAAAUGGGAAGAUCAUGAUGUUGAAGAUCGGUACAGAAAUCGGGGUAGAAACCUAAGGUGAGUCACACUCACAGUAGAGAGCAGUGUCUCAUGUGAGAAUCCUAGUGUAUUAAGAAAUUUUAAAAACCAGCAAACAAAACAA